rnacentral:lncRNA from 1 species
AGCUAGGACCACACCACCUCCUUCUCUGCCGUCACAGCCACUCACUACAUCUCAUCCUUUUCCGCUGCCGGUUGCUGGAAUUCCUUCUCUUCCAAGUUCCAGUUUCACGCACACAAUGGAGAGGCUUAUCACGGGGACUCGAGGUUUACUUUUUCAAGUAGUGUGGAUUGACUGAAUUUGACUUGGCUGUAAUUAUUUUUUUUUAUUUUUGUUUAGUUGUGUUUUAUUUUAUUUUUCUGUACAAGUGCUUUUAGGGUUUGUUUCUUGUGUAUGCAGGAAGCAAUGUAUACUAGAAGCAGAAAAGACCAGCAACCUCUCUUAGAAGGGUUACCAGAAAGGAGGAGAAGGAGACGUCCUUCAUUUGGGAGAUCUCUUUCUCCUGAAGCAUUU